rnacentral:rRNA from 1 species
CAAUAAGCGGAGGAAAAGAAACCAACCGGGAUUGCCUUAGUAACGGCGAGUGAAGCGGCAAAAGCUCAAAUUUGAAAUCUGGUACCUUCGGUGCCCGAGUUGUAAUUUGGAGAGGGCAACUUUGGGGCCGUUCCUUGUCUAUGUUCCUUGGAACAGGACGUCAUAGAGGGUGAGAAUCCCGUGUGGCGAGGAGUGCGGUUCUUUGUAAAGUGCCUUCGAAGAGUCGAGUUGUUUGGGAAUGCAGCUCUAAGUGGGUGGUAAAUUCCAUCUAAAGCUAAAUAUUGGCGAGAGACCGAUAGCGAACAAGUACAGUGAUGGAAAGAUGAAAAGAACUUUGAAAAGAGAGUGAAAAAGUACGUGAAAUUGUUGAAAGGGAAGGGCAUUUGAUCAGACAUGGUGUUUUGUGCCCUCUGCUCCUUGUGGGUAGGGGAAUCUCGCAUUUCACUGGGCCAGCAUCAGUUUUGGUGGCAGGAUAAAUCCAUAGGAAUGUAGCUUGCCUCGGUAAGUAUUAUAGCCUGUGGGAAUACUGCCAGCUGGGACUGAGGACUGCGACGUAAGUCAAGGAUGCUGGCAUAAUGGUUUAUC